GUCCAGACUCCUACGGGAGGCAGCAGUGGGGAAUAUUGGGCAAUGGGCGCAAGCCUGACCCAGCAAUGCCGCGUGAAGGAAGAAGGCUUUCGGGUUGUAAACUUCUUUGACAGGGGAAGAGCAGAAGACGGUACCCUGAAAACAAGCCACGGCUAACUACGUGCCAGCAGCCGCGGUAAUACGUAGGUGGCAAGCGUUGUCCGGAUUUACUGGGUGUAAAGGGCGUGUAGCCGGGCUUACAAGUCAGAUGUGAAAUCCGGGGGCUCAACCCCCGAACUGCAUUUGAAACUGUAGGUCUUGAGUAUCGGAGAGGCAGGCGGAAUUCCUAGUGUAGCGGUGAAAUGCGUAGAUAUUAGGAGGAACACCAGUGGCGAAGGCGGCCUGCUGGACGACAACUGACGGUGAGGCGCGAAAGCGUGGGGAGCAAACAGGAUUAGAUACCCGCGUACC
rnacentral:rRNA from 1 species